UGGGGGAUAUUGCACAAUGGGCGAAAGCCUGAUGCAGCGACGCCGCGUGGGGGAUGAAGGCUUUCGGGUUGUAAACCUCUUUCGCUAUCGAACAAGGCCCGCUUAGGGUGGGUUGAGGGUAGGUGGAGAAGAAGCGCCGGCUAACUACGUGCCAGCAGCCGCGGUAAUACGUAGGGCGCGAGCGUUGUCCGGCAUUAUUGGGCGUAAAGGGCUUGUAGGCGGCUUGUUGCGCCUGCUGUGAAAACGCGGGGCUUAACGUCGCGCGUGCAGUGGGUACGGGCAGGCUUGAGUGUGGUAGGGGUGACUGGAAUUCCAGGUGUAGCGGUGGAAUGCGCAGAUAUCUGGAGGAACACCGAUGGCGAAGGCAGGUCACUGGGCCAUUACUGACGCUGAGGAGCGAAAGCUUGGGUAGCGAACAG
rnacentral:rRNA from 1 species